rnacentral:lncRNA from 1 species
GUUUUCCAUGUUUCUUGGAUGUUGAAAGCAUGCACAUCAUCUAUUGGAACAUCUGCCUCCCUAAAGAGUCACCUAGAUAAGCAAUGGUUUUAUCCUGCAUUCUGAAACAUGUCCAAAUUAGUACGAGCUGGUUACAUGAAAAGUUAAGAUGUCCCUAGCAAAAACAGUGUAUCUGCAUACUUGCAUAUCAUCUCGUAAAAAUUCAUAUCAAAGGAACAUCAACAUAUACCUUCAAGAAAAUUGAGCGGUUUUAACCACUAGCAUCUUUGUCUUGCAAUCAACAUGACCUUAAUAUAGUUCACAAAUUAACAUAGCUGAAUGAAACAAUAUUGCUACAGAUCACUUGAUGAGUUCAUAUUCCUACACCAACCCGUGGUAGGCACAAAAGCACACCUACAGGAUAAAAUCAAGAACUAGGACCUUAAAACUUUCAAAAAAACAAUACGACACCAAAUAUGGGAAAUGCAAAAUAACCUUCGAGACUGGUGCACCUUCUUAUCCCCCUGAUCUAUUUUGAAGCUUCUUGACCUAUAAUACCAUGUAAAAAAACCUUUUGUUGAAAUACGAGACCAUGACAUGCUCACAAGCAAUCGAGUUAUAUUCACCUCUUUUUUUUCCUUUUUACAUUUGUUAUCGUGUGUGAACCAUGCUUCCUCUUUGAGUAAUAGUGUAUUUACCCAUAACAUUUGUUAAAUCUCAGCUCAACAUAAAUGGUCAGUAAGCUAGUUUAUUACAGCUGCAUAGAUUUCUAGUACUCAGUUGUCCCAGCCUGAUAUAGAAUUCAACUGGGAUUUUUGUUAGUCAAACAUUCUUGGGCCUCGUCUGGUAUGAAUUUAGUGAAUCACUCAAUCUAUAGACAAUACUUCGAAAUAGUCUAAUCACUUACUCGACUAAUAAUACAUUUUGGUCCGAACUUGCGCUGUUCUGUACAUGUGAUUUUCAACUAUACUAUAUGUAAGAAAGAUUCUAUAUUACACUCUAUAAGAAAGAUUAUGUGUAUAAUUCAGCUAGACAUAUUAAGAGACGAAGAAACAGACAACAUUUAAACACUGCUAGAUUUCAUGUUUAGCAAUAUGUUGUAACCGAGUGACUGAACAAGAACUUUUGUCCACACAGCACGCAUUCUUCUAAUUCUCUGCAAAGAUUAAAAUAUUGAUGCAUAUAUCUGCUCCGAACUAACUUAAACAUCGAUCUGCUUGUAUUGCGUGGCGAGACAUGAAAUUUCCAUAACCACAACUAACAUUAGAUGUAGUUGUACUUCUAUAACUUUUUCGCUUCUUUUGUUUGUUGUCAUACAGUUGCAACAGCUGCUUUCAGUUCAUAAUUUUAGGAACAUCAUAGCAGACUUCAAGGACUACAUUGUGGAGAGCAAUACACGAUACUAUGAAAUUGGAGGAUGAACAACCAAAUGCAGUGCAGCUCCUUCAAUAUUUGCUGAGGAAUGUGCAGCAGGCAAGCACGGACUACAACUCACGCCUGCUCCAGAAUCGCCAAUGCAUGCAUCACUACAAUUGGAGGCAGAGUGAGCUCCGACCGUUGUGGUCGGCACCGAGAAAUUGACCUGUACAUCUUCAUUGAGCCCGGCUGCCGGCAGCGAUUGGUCAUGCAAUAUGGUAGCCAUCGGUGCCGGCAAGACAUGCCCCAUCGGCCCAUCGUAUCCCAUUCGAGUGACUCGGAUAGGAAUCGACCGAACGACACUGACUCCCGCAGCGCGGGCAUCUAGUC